AGUGAACGCUGGCGGUAGGCCUAACACGUGCAAGUCGAACGGCAGCACAGGAGAGCUUGCUCUCUGGGUGGCGAGUGGCGGACGGGUGAGGAAUACAUCGGAAUCCACUCUGUCGUGGGGGAUAACGUAGGGAAACUUACGCUAAUACCGCAUACGACCUACGGGUGAAAGCAGGGGAUCUUCGGGCCUUGCGCGAUUGAAUGAGCCGAUGUCGGAUUAGCUAGUUGGCGGGGUAAAGGCCCACCAAGGCGACGAUCCGUAGCUGGUCUGAGAGGAUGAUCAGCCAAACUGGAACUGAGACACGGUCCAGACUCCUACGGGAGGAAGCAGUGGGGAAUAUUGGACAAUGGGCGCAAGCCUGAUUCAGCCAUACCGCGUGGGUGAAGAAGGCCUUCGGGUUGUAAAGCCCUUUUGUUGGGAAAGAAAUCCAGCUGGCUAAUACCCGGUUGGGAUGACGGUACCCAAAGAAUAAGCACCGGCUAACUUCGUGCCAGCCGCCGCCGUAA
rnacentral:rRNA from 1 species